CCCCGCCCCACUUGGCGUGUCGGGUGUUGAGGGCGGGGCACUGCCGAGACUGUGGUUAGCAGGAGAGUUGGGGGAGGGCCGCAGUGACGCUAGGUGGCGGCGGCGGGAGGGCUGGCGUGGGCCCCUGUCUGGGACGAACUCUCCUCACAAACCCGGAGGCCACCGCGCUCGCCUCCACCCACGUCUGAACCCCUGGGAGGCUGGCACGCUUCCCACGCUGCCCACAAACCAAAGCUAAGGUCAACCCGCAGGAUCUGCCCAACGCCCUGGCGUGCUGACCGGCUGUUCUGCUCAGACUCUGGAAGUGUGCCUGCGGAAAUGAACCAAGAUGCGGUCGUGUGUUUUCAGUGCCUGAAGUUUUUAGCUUCAGAAGUGAAGCUGUUUCUGGGGUCACAGACAGGAAGGGGGCAGCGAAGCCAGUACUCAGUCUGCAGUCUAAUCCCGUUUAUUCAACACAAUCCCUUCACUCUACACAACAAAGUACAAACACAACAGCGCCUAAAAUGCUACAAGUUACAAAACUCAAAACAACAAAUUUAUAGUACUGACUGUACAAUAAAAGCCAAAAAAGCAAUGUA